AUUACAAGGCUGACUGAAUAAUUAAGCUUGUCUCCUGCUGUACAUCGCUACAAUGAAGAUGUGCUAUACUGAAACUGGCUUAGCGUAGGCAUUUGAGUCUGGGAGUUACGCGAUAAUGAAAUACUAGACAGUCUGGCAUGAUCAGCAGCUCAGAGAACCCGUACCAUUUACAUUGAUUCAGUGAAGUGGCUGCUGAGUGAAGGAAAGGUGUAGUCGUUGUCUGGAGUUUCCCUCGCCCUCGCUGCACGUAAAUCAGGCUCCUCCUUGCCAGGUAGCGGGAGGAACACAGCCGACGCAGCAGUCUUCUCCGCGUCGUGAAAGCUCAGAGUUACCGACGCAGCACCAAGAUGGUGAGGAUUAUCGUCCACUCACAUCGCUGCCUUGAUGAGAGACGUGAAGGAGGGAGAACUUCAGCGACACGUGAAGAAAAAAAAAAAAAAAUCUGCGCUGUUUUGGUUUUCAUAUCGCCCUUGCAUUGCUGUCGCUCCCAGAGUAUUUCCUUAAGACUUGAGCCGUCUGUCCUAGAACCUCAUUCAGAGCUGUAAGAUACGUGUACGUCAAGCGGUUGUCUGUCUAUCUUUGUAUGAAUGGCUGAAUAAAUCAAUAAAUAGACAGAUGCAUU